rnacentral:tRNA from 1 species
AGGGACCGUGGCUCAGCGGCAGAGCCUCCGCUUUGCAUGCAGAAGGCCCCAAGUUCAAUUCCCGGGGUCUCUA